CCUACGGGGGGCAGCAGUGGGGAAUAUUGCACAAUGGGGGAAACCCUGAUGCAGCGACGCCGCGUGAGUGAAGAAGUAUUUCGGUACGUAAAGCUCUAUCAGCAGGGGAGAAAAUGACGGUACCUGACUAAGAAGCCCCGGCUAACUACGUGCCAGCAGCCGCGGUAAUACGUAGGGGGCAAGCGUUAUCCGGAUUUACUGGGUGUAAAGGGAGCGUAGACGGCAGCGCAAGUCUGGAGUGAAAUCCCAUGGCUUAACCAUGGAACUGCUUUGGAAACUGUGCAGCUAGAGUGCAGGAGAGGUAAGCGGAAUUCCUAGUGUAGCGGUGAAAUGCGUAGAUAUUAGGAGGAACACCAGUGGCGAAGGCGGCUUACUGGACUGUAACUGACGUUGAGGCUCGAAAGCGUGGGGAGCAAACAGGAUUAGAUACCCGAGUAGUU
rnacentral:rRNA from 1 species